rnacentral:rRNA from 1 species
GACGAACGCUGGCGGCGUGCUUAACACAUGCAAGUCGAACGGAAAGGCCCUGCUUUUGUGGGGUGCUCGAGUGGCGAACGGGUGAGUAACACGUGAGUAACCUGCCCUUGACUUUGGGAUAACUUCAGGAAACUGGGGCUAAUACCGGAUAGGAGCUCCUGCUGCAUGGUGGGGGUUGGAAAGUUUCGGCGGUUGGGGAUGGACUCGCGGCUUAUCAGCUUGUUGGUGGGGUAGUGGCUUACCAAGGCUUUGACGGGUAGCCGGCCUGAGAGGGUGACCGGCGACAUGGGGACUGAGAUACGGCGCAGACUCCUACGGGAGGCAGCAGUCGGGAAUAUUGCACAAUGGGCGGAAGCCUGAUGCAGCAACGCCGCGUGCGGGAUGACGGCCUUCGGGUUGUAAACAGAUUUCGCCUGUGACGAAGCGUGAGUGACGGUAAUGGGUAAAGAAGCACCGGCUAACUACGUG